rnacentral:siRNA from 1 species
UGGAAUGCAAACUAUUACGUA